GUAAGCGUAACGAAAAUAGGUAGCGACGCCUGUCUGGGCGAUCCACGGGAUACCAUUGCGAAAAAAAUCCGCCGAGAAAAGAAUUUUAAAUGAAGCAUUUGCCACGAAAUACGAGACGUCGAUUCUCCUCGAUAAUACCGGGUCCCGGUUAAACCCGGAGUUAUCGGGAGUACUAUUGACCGGAAUCAAUAUGAAAAGGUACCGUCGCAAUAUUUAUUUUUUAUACGUCGUUCCAGGGUCCGUAGUGCAAGAGCCAGACCGCAAUACGGAGCUUUGAGAAACGUCGUUUACGCCAUUGGGAGAUCAAAUUUACGUAUACGUAUAAGGAAACACGGGAAUGGGAUGAAUCAAGGAUUCCCUGGAAUCAGAAUUGUCGAGUUCAAUGACGCAAUGGGAAAGGCGUAAGGCACGAAGUUAAAAAUAUAUUCUAGAAGGUUGGAUGUAUUCGGAGGCGCUCUAUCCCGGCACCGUUAGGAUCGUCGUAUCUCCCGACCCACGAGAGCAGAUAAAGAUGAAACGAUACUGACGUCACUCUCUCAGCGCAUCUGAGAACCGCGUUUGUGCUCGCACGCGUUGCUUGUUCCUUCUGUAAGCCCACGGCAAACGACGCCAGGAAUUCGCAAUGCCGAGGCGGUCACAGUAUCUUCAUCGACGAUUGGAAAACGUUCGAAUGGACGUUACCGAACGUUAUGAAAUAACGGAUUUCUUAUCCUCAAAAUAGCUACACAACCUGACUCAGAGAGUGCGCGUCAGGAAGAAUUAAUACUACAGAGUUGUUGAUUUCGAGGUACGUUAGACGCCGUGACAAGUGUCUGUCUGGACAAUUGACCGUUCCCGGCACCCCUUCCCAGAGGGACCCGUGUGUACAUUGGAGAGCGACGACUAAGGACGGAAGGGGCGAGGAGGAAAACAAAACGACCACCUUGAGCAGCCGCGCCGGCCGCCGCGUGGCCGUGUUUCCAAAACAUUUCCCACAUCCGACGUCGAUGGACAACGGAAAGGACGAGCUUUUCCGACGGACUGUAUCGGCACUUGGGGGAAUCGGCGGUCUCAAAGGUCACGCGAACUCGGAACGGCGAUGCAGGUCACAGGACUUGCUACCAAAUUUCAAUUACAGUUGCUCACCACUACUGUAGGUAUAACUUUACAUAUCACAGAAUGUAGAGAACCGUUCCAGCAAUAGCUCUACAACGUUACUGGGUUACUGCGGCAUUAACGUAAUAUCCCUCGUUUCUCAAUAGUUUUAACUCAUUUCGUUUUAAAGCUUGUAAAGAAUAAAUGUUUAUAUAUAAUUGGCACAGUGUAUUUUAAAUGUCUUUUUGUUGUUUGCAAAUGGAAUUUAAAUUAUUGGAAACACCUUAGUGCAUGACCCGUACGACAAUUUAAUUAAUGGAAAGAAAUUAGGAAUAAAGUUUCGAGAUUAAAAUAUCGAGUACGAUAUAGAGUGGUGUCUAAGAUUAACAUUGAGCGCGCACAGAGAAAAAAAUGUU